rnacentral:rRNA from 1 species
UCCGUAGGCGGACUAAUAAGUCAGGGGUGAAAUCCAACAGCUUAACUGUUGAACUGCCUUUGAUACUGUUAGUCUUGCAUUAUAUGGAAGUAGAUAGAAUGUGUAGUGUAGCGGUGAAAUGCUUAGAGAUUACACAGAAUACCGAUUGCGAAGGCAGUCUACUACGUAUAUAUUGACGCUAAUGGACGAAAGCGUGGGGAGCGAACAGGAUUAGAUACCCUGGUAGUCC